rnacentral:rRNA from 1 species
GACGAACGCUGGCGGCGUGCUUAACACAUGCAAGUCGAACGGAAAGGCCCUGCUUUUGUGGGGUGCUCGAGUGGCGAACGGGUGAGUAACACGUGAGUAACCUGCCCUUGACUUUGGGAUAACUUCAGUAAACUGGGGCUAAUACCGGAUAGGAGCUCCUGCUGCAUGGUGGGGGUUGGAAAGUUUCGGCGGUUGGGGAUGGACUCGCGGCUUAUCAGCUUGUUGGUGGGGUAGUGGCUUACCAAGGCUUUGACGGGUAGCCGGCCUGAGAGGGUGACCGGCCACAUGGGGAAUGAGAUACGGCCCAGACGCCUACGGGAGGCAGCAGGGGGGAAUAUUGCACAAUGGGAGGAAGCCUGAUGCAGCAACGCCGCGUGCGGGAUGACGGCCUUCGGGUUGUAAACCGCUUUCGCCUGUGACGAAGCGGGAGUGACGGUAAUGGGUAAAGAAGCACCGGCUAACUACGUG